ensembl:lncRNA
CGCGUGGGCGAGAGGGGUAAAUGGAGGAGAGUGAGAGGUGGGAGAGAGCGUUGAGUGUAUGGGGUAGAGUGGGGGAGUGUGUGCGGGGAAUAUGAGUGCAGUGCGAGAGAGGGAGGCUGGGGAGAGGGUGAAUGGCAGACGAGGGAACGUGGAAGGGUGUGCCGGCGAUUGUCCAGUGUGUGAGCGGGCAUCCCGGAGGCUCUCCGUGAUCGUGAUCGCUGGCGAUAGUGAACCCUGGUGUCCUCGAGGUCUAGGCUAAACCAGAAACUGUCACUGCGCUAGCACCUAGAACGAAGCCGCACAGCACUGCAGGCUCUGUCCACUUUCACAGUUACCCUGUGGAGUUACCGGGACCCAGGUGAGAAGAUGACCCUUCUGCACGUGUUAACGUGGUUUCCCCUGAACUAUCUCUUCAAUCAGCAUAGAUUGAUGGCACAAAAUCUUUCCUGGAAAAAUGACUGUGAGGAGUUGACAGAGUAAACCGACAGUUUUUAUAUGAUUUGAAUACAAAUGUGUUUUGUUUGCCUGCGCUGAUUUCUUACCUAUAGGUUCUAUAACACAGCACCCACUACAUUGUAAGUGGCCUCGAAACUAAAUCUCAUCAUUUGAAUAUAUAUUUACAUUGCACAACAUUGCCUUUUUAAACUCUAGAGAAUUUUAAGCUUUUCUGUGACCCUUUCUUUGCUAGUUGAGCCUGUUUGAAAAAAUAUUUUGAUGACUAGAAUGGUCUUUACCUUUAGAGAUAUUUAAUUCCUUUCAUAGUAUUUUUGGGUUGAAAUUUCAUUCUUCUCAGAAAAUGUUAAUUCUUUUGGCAUAAAAUGCACACAUGAUAUAUUUGCUUUAGCAGAUCAGAUAAAUUGCUUUAUGUUUUUAUUUCUGCAGCGGUCAAAAAUGUUGGCUCUUAACUAAUGUAUCGUUUGACAGGAAUUCAAAUUCACAAUCAGUCUGCUUUCUUGUAGUCUUUUAGUUUUAGUUGAGAUUUGAACAUAACUCUCUUUUUUUUUUUUUUUUUUUUGCAGUCUUUUACGGGAGACAUUCACUAAAUUCUGUCACCACAGUAUCCAUAAAUUGGAUCUAUAUAUAUAUGUUGAUAUUUAUUGUUUUUAGUAGCAAAACAAAUUGAUGUGUUUUUCUACUUUCCAUUAUUGGUGAAAAGCCUAUCAUGAGGGAACAGAGUGACUGGUUAGUGCAGAAGGAUAUGAGUCAUCGGCAGGAUUUGUCAGCAAAUUGAGAAGGAUAUGAUGGAGAAACAAUAGAUUCUAGUGACAUUAUUCUUCAUUCCACACGUGUGGUUACAAACAAGUUUCCUUUUGGUGAUUGGUUUAAAUUAUUCAAAUAACUUAGAUCUUUCUAGAUGAGAAGCACUUAAAAUUUAAGUCUUAGACUAUCCCCUGAAUUGUUUUUCUAGUGAAAUGAGAUCUUCAUUUGGAGGUUAUCAGCAAGUAGAAUUUAGUUAAACUCACAUCUGUUUACUAGGAAAAAUAAUUCACUUACGAGGUAGGAGUUAGUAAGUUGAGAGUCUAUUUUUGUAAAGCUUGUUGUUAAAUUAUGGAACCGCUCAGUAGAUCAGAAGAUUCCCACCAAUGUGGCACAUUUAUUUUCUCUCAUUGAGCAGACUCGCUCCCUGACUACUACUCAUACUUUUAAAUUCCUAAGAGCUUUUAUUGCAUUUGAAUUGGUUUGAAAUUCUCAGCAUGGUCAAGGCCUCCUAGAGUUAUCUAACCAAAGACUCCUUUCCUUUCUCAGUCAUGCUACCAUGGCCCUUUCUACAGUCUUGUUACAAAAGUUUUACCUUUCCUUGGAAGUCUUAAUUAAUCCUACUCCAUUCGACUCAUACUUUGUGUCUUCAAAGUAUAUAGCAUUAGUAUGAAAUUUUAAUGGCCUUCAUCAAAUAUUUUUCACCCACAUGGAUUCUUCUAGUAUCUUGAUCCUGGAUAGAGUUUGUGUGGUAUGUGCAAAGAGCUCCACAAAUGCUUGUUGUAAGAUUGAAUAUGUGGCAUUUUAGUAUCAUUCAGAAGUGGCGUAUUGUCCUCUAUCUCAGUGAGCAUUUGGAGGAAGAGGACAAGAAAGAUUAAUUUUUGCAUUCUUUAGGUGGGAAGAGAAGGUAGGCAAAUCCAUGUGGAACUGAGCUGGUGAGCAAAGAAUAAUUAUCCCUUGACAUGGCAUUAAGAGGUGUUUCACCAUUUUUACUUCACUUUCGUGUUUUAAUGUGAAACAACUGCUUUCGCUGUAUGUUUUUUAAAGAUUGUCAAUGUUGUGUUUUAUGAAAAUAAACAUCUAGCCAUUAUUGCA